rfam:Mus musculus chromosome 2, GRC primary reference assembly.
UUCCUCUGGCAUGAGCAAAGAAACACCUUGUUGGUAGUGUUGAUAGUGUUCUUACAUCAGUCAGGGCCAGAGCAGAUGGCAGUCCUUUGUUCAUCCUAGCUUGAUGCCUGGCUUAGUGGUCAAAGCUGUCUUAUGCCUAGGACUCAUAA